GUUUGUGACACCCUGUGAUUUACCCAGUGUCUCCUCCAGCAUCUCCUGUGUCUCCUUACUCCUGUAUGAGCCAUUGGGCAUCCUGGAACGUCCAAUCUCCAGUCUUUCGGAGGAGCACAAGUGCACUGAAGUCAGGUUUUGUUAAAUGGCAGAUUUCUGGACUAAUCCAGGAUCCAGAAGAACAUCCAGUGAGGGGAACACCCAUCAAAGGUUGAACAGUGAUUCUGGUUAACUGGAUGGGGGUGAAGCCAGGACAUGUGGACGGCGUGGUUGUGGUGAAGCCCAAACCAGAUGCGACUUCAGCAAGUGGAAUUAGAUCUACACUUUAUAAGGGCUACAGCGGUGAGCUACCAGACCCAUCAAUCCUCAACCCACUACCUGCCUAUGCUGACAUGGAACCAGACCAGAUGCACCUAGGCUGGGUGCAUCGCCAGAUGGGCUUGUAUAUCUCCCACUUGAGCAACCAUGAUUUGAUCUGGUUGAAAUUAAAUGCACAAAUGUAGCAAG